GGAGGGGUGCGUGAGCGGUUCAAACGAGCGGCUUGCUAAGCCGUGACGGCUUUAAAACCGUCCGUGGGUUCGAAUCCCACCCCCUCCG
rfam:Parcubacteria bacterium GW2011_GWA1_59_11 TY99_C0018, whole genome shotgun sequence.